GAGUUUGAUCAUGGCUCAGGAUGAACGCUAGCGACAGGCUUAACACAUGCAAGUCGAGGGGCAGCGGGGGAGUAGCAAUACUCCCGCCGGCGACCGGCGCACGGGUGAGUAACACGUAUGAAACCUGCCCGUAGCAGGGGGAUAAGCGGAAGAAAUUCCGUCUAAUACCGCGUAACACCGCGGAGGGGCAUCCCUUCGCGGUUAAAGAUUCAUCGGCUGCGGAUGGCCAUGCGGCGCAUUAGCUAGUCGGCGGGGUAACGGCCCACCGAGGCGACGAUGCGUAGGGGUUCUGAGAGGAAGGUCCCCCACACUGGUACUGAGACACGGACCAGACUCCUACGGGAGGCAGCAGUGAGGAAUAUUGGUCAAUGGCCGGGAGGCUGAACCAGCCAAGUCGCGUGAGGGAAGACGGCCCUACGGGUUGUAAACCUCUUUUGUCAGGGAGCAAGAGGCGGGUCGAGACCUGCUGUGAGAGUACCUGAAGAAAAAGCAUCGGCUAACUCCGUGCCAGCAGCCGCGGUAAUACGGAGGAUGCGAGCGUUAUCCGGAUUUAUUGGGUUUAAAGGGUGCGCAGGCGGAGGCACAAGUCAGCGGUAAAAUCGCGGGGCUCAACCCCGCUCCGCCGUUGAAACUGUGUCCCUUGAGUGCGCGAAGGGUAGGCGGAAUGCGUGGUGUAGCGGUGAAAUGCAUAGAUAUCACGCAGAACUCCGAUCGCGAAGGCAGCCUACCGGCGCGCAACUGACGCUCAUGCACGAAAGCGUGGGUAUCGAACAGGAUUAGAUACCCUGGUAGUCCACGCAGUAAACGAUGAAUGCUAUCUGUCCGGCCGGAAUGACGGCUGGGUGGCACAGCGAAAGCGUUAAGCAUUCCACCUGGGGAGUACGCCGGCAACGGUGAAACUCAAAGGAAUUGACGG
rnacentral:rRNA from 1 species